rnacentral:rRNA from 1 species
UAGGGAAUCUUCGGCAAUGGGGGGAACCCUGACCGAGCAACGCCGCGUGAGUGAAGAAGGUUUUCGGAUUGUAAAGCUCUGUUGUUAAGGAAGAACGAGUGUGAGAAUGGAAAGUUCAUGCUGUGACGGUACUUAACCAGAAAGGGACGGCUAACUACGUGCCAGCAGCCGCGGUAAUACGUAGGUCCCGAGCGUUGUUCGGAUUUAUUGGGCGUAAAGCGAGCGCAGGCGGUCAAUUAAGUCUGAUGUGAAAGCCCCCGGCUUAACCGAGGAAGGUCAUUGGAAACUGUUUAACUUGAGUGCAGAAGGGGAGAGUGGAAUUCCAUGUGUAGCGGUGAAAUGCGUAGAUAUAUGGAGGAACACCGGUGGCGAAAGCAGCUCUCUGGUCUGUAACUGACGCUGAGGCUCGAAAGCGUGGGGAGCGAACAGG